CAGUCCUUCCAAUAAGCCAUUUGUAGAAAAUGAUGGGUCCAAAAGGCCUUUUAUGUGAAAAAUUCAAUAUUGACAUUUCAACAUAGAACUUUGAUUUUUUGACCAAAUAACCACAAGCCCACUGCAAGUGAACAGUCUUAUGUUUUAUUGCCAUUAAUAUGUGAUAACUCUAACUAGUCGAUAGAUCAUCCCAUUAAUUAGCAAUCCAUGAAUACAACACAUUCCUGAAUUACUUAAUC
rnacentral:lncRNA from 1 species